AUGUACCCACUGAGAGCAAAUGUAUUGUCCUGUUUCCCUGCUUCUAGACAACUCUUAGUAGAGCUGUUCCCCAGGCCGGGCUACUUUGCAGAGGAGAGCUCAGGCCCAGGAGCUGUAAAGCCCAUGUUACCUGUGUUGGCGGGAUCAAGGGCAGCACAAAGACGUGGUCCUCUGGCAAUGCCUGAGGACUUCUCAUUCCUGGCCCUGCCUCCGUCUCCACAUGGGAGAAAGCGUGUUGUACAGCAGAACUAGAAGGAAGCGCUCACCUUCCAGAACCACUAAGUGCUCUAUUAUUCAUGCGCCACAUCAGCCUGGAGAGACACAAAAAGCUGUCCUAUAUCUUGGGUGAAAUACUAUCGUUACCGAGACAGAAUCAGGG
rnacentral:lncRNA from 9 species